rnacentral:lncRNA from 1 species
CAUCAGAGAUGAAGCAGCCAACUGACUGUUUUUAAAGCCAGUUCUUCUGCAAUGUUUUAUCUCCAAACAUUUAUCUCUAAAUGCCUUUAUCUCUAAAACUUCUCUCAUCAGCAUUUUAAUCAUGAAUAUGUAUUGCAUUUUCAAGAUAAUUCAGCUAUUAUUGCUUUUGCAGAGCUUUCAGCUGUUGAAAUUGAGAUUAUGGCUUUUAAAGUUCACGCCCAUUUUAUGUAUUCAGAAACAUACUUUUAAGAUGCAGUUCAAAAGACUGGAAACAAGAAUGGUUCCAGUGUGGAAAAUUACUUUAUUCUUCUCUGUGAAAAGCAGACCCAGAGUUUUGGAUGUAGGUAUUCUUUCCUUCCCAGCACCCUUGAUGCACGCGGGACCACAACCAGCAGCGACUUGUUUGUGGACAAUGGUUUUAUGCAAGGAUGGUUUGCAUACGAGAGUGUUUAAGCCAGUUUAUCUGUUCUCAUAACAGCUAAACUGAAAUAGGUACGAGAACAAUGAAGAGAAAAAAUGUGCUUAGCUUUUUAAAACCCACCUUCAUACUUCUUUCACUAGUUCUGUUCAAAUCACUUAAUAUACAUGCAGAACUUGCCCUUGGUUUUCUGAUUUGCGGCGCACCCGCCAUAAUUUGAUUCUUGGGAUUCAAGUUUACAGUACCUUCAUAGCAGGGGUGCCUAACUCAUGGCCUGAGGGGCCAUAUAUGUUCCCUAAGGAGUUUUUGCUGAUCCUCCAAUUCCCCUAAUAAUUUGACUGCUGGAUCUGCAAUUGGGAGGGGGGGGGGUUAAAAAAAUACAGAGCAGAAGUUGGCGCUGUUUGAACUUCCCAUAAUGAUUUUCAGCAAUCAUAUCUCUUUCUCUGGCUUGUGAGCAAUUCACGUGACAUCCUCCUUACACUUGCUAGAGCUUUGUGGCCAGAGGGUGGUGAUGCACACAUAAAUCCUAGUAGCAGGGAAGUCCCUGGGCUCACACCACCCUUAACUGAGCAAGAACUGAGGGAGGAGGAGAGAUGACUGCAAUCUGUUAGGUGAUGUUGAGGAGUCAAACUGGGAACCUUUAGAUCUGAGAACAGUUGCCCCAUAUCAUAGGCCAUUAAACUGCAAGACAGCAUUGUAUCCUCAGGUCCUGGACUAACCUUACCUAACCUCCUGGACAGAAAAGACUACAAGAGAGCCUUCUGUUCAUCUAAGCCUUGCUCAAGAGACAAGAGGCACAUCCAUGCCAUACAUUGAAAGCACUUUUAUGCCACUUCAAGGGUAAUAGAGAAUCCUGAGAACUGUAGCUUGUUACCUUACAAAUGUAAGGUUCUCACUUCGGCAGAGCUAACCAGCUGCAAAAAUAUAAGAUGGGGGACACCUUGUUUGCCAGCAGUACAUGCAAAAAAGCUCUAGGGGGUCUUAGAAGAUCACAAGAUUAAUGUGAGUCAAUACUGUGAUGCAGUAUUGUGAGUCAGUACUGUGAUGCCAACCUAGCAGUUCGAAAGCAUCCCCGGGUGCAAGUAGAUAAAUAGGGACCGCUUACUAGCGGGAAGGUAAACGGCGUUGUGUGUGCUGCGCUGGCUCGCUAGAUGCAGCUUGUCACGCUGGCCACGUGACCCGGAAGUGUCUGUGGACAGCGCUGGCUCCCGGCCGCUAGAGUGAGAUGAGCGCACAACCCUAGAGUCUGUCAAGACUGGCCCGUACGGGCGGGGGUACCUUUACCUUUACCUUUACCUUUACCUUUACUGUGAUGCAGCAGCAAAAAACCUAGUGCUAUUCUAGGCUGCAUCAACAGAAGUAUAGUGUCUGGAUUAAGGAAAGUCGUAGUACCACUCUAUUCUGUCUUGGUCAGACCACACCUGUAGUACUGUGUCCAGUUCUGGGUGCUGCAAUUUAAGAAGGAUAUUGACAAGCUGGAGUAUAUGCAGAGGAUGGUGACCAGGAUGAUCAAGAGUCUGGAAACCAAGCCUUAUGAGGAAUUGUUGAGAGUACUGGGUAUGUUCAGACUGGUAAAGAAGAGUCUUAGAGGAGAUAUGAUAUCCUCCUUCAAAUAUCCAAAGGGCUGUCACAAGGAAGAUGGAGCAAAAUUGUUUUCUCCUGCUCUAGCAACUAGAACCUGAACCAAUGGCUUUAAGUUACAAAAAAGGAGAUUCUGACUAAACAUCAGGAAGAACUUUCAAUAAUAAUAGCUGAUCAACAGUGGAAUAGACUCCUUAAGGAGGUGGUGGACUCUCCUUCAUUGAGGUUUUAAGCAGAACUUGGAUGGUCACCUGUCAUGUCUGCUUUAUUUGAGAUUCCUGCAUUGCAGGGGGUUGGACUAAAUGACUCUGGUGGAUCCCUUCCAACGCUAGAGUUCUAUGAUUCUGAGAAGGCAGCAUAGAUAGGGAAAAAACUGUGAUCAGUUUUCAUAAAAAGGAAUUAAUUCAGCUGUUGACAUAAAUCAAAGCAUCUAUUUAAACAUAUUUUAUUUUUUAAGAGAACCCAUUUUGGCUUAGUUAUUUACUGCUCCUAACCCCUCCACAUUAACUCUGCUCUUACCUGCAAUUGGCUAGAGUUUUCCACCUUUACUGUAACAAGGAAUGAUCCCUGUGGAGCUAACAGUUGUGUUGUGCUGGGAAACAGCUGUCAGAAGCUACCCCUAUUCAUCUUCCACCUUCAUCUCUGCAGUUGGAUAUGUCAUGACUGCAUCUCAGCCAGCGUUCAUUGACCCAGAAAGGCAAGUUCAAACUAAAUCCUCUGCUUACUAGCAGAACACAUUGGGUAAAUUUGGCAUGCUCAUGUUUUGCUUCAACCUAACAGUUUCAGGUUGCAGUGGGAGAAGGUCUUACUUGGUAUAUGAGCAGGCAUUUUAAUGUAACAUAUUAAAAAAAUGAAACAAUUCCACACAUGUAGUUCUAAACAUUAUCCAUAGGAAAUUUGUCAAGCUCUACAUCUUACUCACACUGCAAUGACAUCGAAAGGCUUAAAUUAUCUAGUUCAUGAAAAAUAACAGCUCAAACUUAGUCUUCACUGACCUCAUUUAAUGCUGUAUUCCCAUAGCUUCCAUGCUGUGAUGAAAUAUCUUUUAGACAUUUCUCUUUGGAACAGAGAAAGGUUAACAUGAUUAUGUUGUCUAUAAGAGAGAUGUUUCAGCUUCUGCAAAUGUUUUAUUUUUGGAUAUAAAGAGAUGAGAAAUGAUUUAUACAAAAAUCUUACAUC